rnacentral:rRNA from 1 species
AUUGAACGCUGGCGGCAGGCCUAACACAUGCAAGUCGAGCGAGCGGCGGACGGGUGAGUAAUGUCUGGGGACUGCCCGAUAGAGGGGGAUAACUACUGGAAACGGUAGCUAAUACCGCAUACUAUCGGAUAACCCAUAUGGGAUUAGCUAGUAGGUGAGGUAAUGGCUCACCUAGGCGACGAUCCCUAGCUGGUCUGAGAGGAUGAUCAGCCACACUGGAAUUGGGACACGGCCCAGACUCCUACGGAGGCAGCAGUGGGGAAUAGGGCACAAUGGGCGCAAGCCUGAUGCAGCCAUGCCGCGUGUAUGAAGAGGGCCUUAGGGUUGUAAAGUACUUUCAGUGGGGAGGGGUUACCGACAGAAGAAGCACCGGCUAACGCCGUGCCAGCAGCCGCGGUAAUAC